rnacentral:rRNA from 1 species
UGGGGAAUCUUCCGCAAUGGGCGCAAGCCUGACGGAGCAACGCCGCGUGGGUGAGGAAGGCCUUCGGGUUGUAAAGCCCUGUCUUAUGGGAAGAAGAAAGUGACGGUACCAUAGGAGGAAGCCACGGCUAACUACGUGCCAGCAGCCGCGGUAAUACGUAGGUGGCAAGCGUUGUCCGGAAUUACUGGGCGUAAAGGGCGAGUAGGCGGUUACUUAAGUCAGGUGUGAAAACUGCGGGCUCAACCCGGAGAUUGCACCUGAUACUGGGUGACUUGAGUGGAGGAGAGGGCAGUGGAAUUCCUAGUGUAGCGGUGAAAUGCGUAGAUAUUAGGAGGAACACCAGUGGCGAAGGCGGCUGUCUGGACUGUAACUGACGCUGAGGCGCGAAAGCGUGGGGAGCAAACAGG